UACAGAGGGGGCAAGCGUUAUUCGGAAUUAUUGGGCGUAAAGGGCGCGUAGGCGGCCUGGCAAGUGGAAGGUGAAAUCCCUCGGCUUAACCGAGGAACUGCCUCCCAAACUGCUUGGCUUGAGACCGGGAGAGGUGAGUGGAAUUCCCAGUGUAGCGGUGAAAUGCGUAGAUAUUGGGAGGAACACCAGUGGCGAAGGCGGCUCACUGGACCGGUACUGACGCUCAUGCACGAAAGCGUGGGGAGCAAACAGG
rnacentral:rRNA from 1 species